rnacentral:rRNA from 1 species
UACGUAGGGUGCGAGCGUUAAUCGGAAUUACUGGGCGUAAAGCGUGCGCAGGCGGUUUUGUAAGCCAGAUGUGAAAGCCCCGGGCUUAACCUGGGAAUGGCAUUUGGGACUGCAAGGCUUGAGUGCGGCAGAGGAGACUGGAAUUCCUGGUGUAGCAGUGAAAUGCGUAGAUAUCAGGAGGAAUACCGAUGGCGAAGGCAGGUCUCUGGGCUGACACUGACGCUCAAGCACGAAAGCGUGGGUAGCAAACAGG